GUAAGAGACUUAGGGUCGCGGCUGGCACAUGAUAAAUGAUAGCUGUUAUUAUUGUAGACUUGUUAGAAAAACAAUGGAGCACAAAGAACUAAAAAUCACCCACAGGUCUGAAGGAGAACUACUGAUAAUUGUUCUAAGCUCUAAGUUUCAUUAUCGGACCCUCGUGGACCUCAUUUCCUUAGGCCUGUGACCUCACUGCAGUGCUGAGUCCCUGUGCUGACAGUAGCCUUCAUCUCCACUAACCAUUCUGCUAUGUCCCAGUGCUUCCUGGAGUCAAGGACAGUUUUACUGGGAGGAUUUAAGGUACAGAGGAAGUAUUUUUGUGCUACUCAAACUAAACCACAUGGACGAUUAUUUACUUGCCUAAAAAAAUAGCUGGUUCCACAAACUGCUGUUUUCUUUCUUUUUAGGAUGACCAUUUUAAUGAUCGCUUUGCUGGUAUUAUUGGGAGGUUUAAUAAUGAUGCAGAAACAGAGAAGAGCCUGGAGCUAAAUGUGAGUAAUUUAGAGCUAAGAGGUCUUCAUGCUGCCAACAUUACAUUGAAACUCCAUUAUAGCAAAACCUAGUUUGAAACCCCCCCAAAAAAUUGG
rnacentral:lncRNA from 1 species